UACGUAGGGGGCAAGCGUUGUCCGGAUUUAUUGGGCGUAAGAGCGUGUAGGCGGCCAUACAGGUCAGCUGUGAAAACUCGAGGCUCAACCUCGAGACGUCGGUUGAAACCGUAUGGCUAGAGUCCGGAAGAGGAGAGUGGAAUUCCCGGUGUAGCGGUGAAAUGCGCAGAUAUCGGGAAGAACACCCGUGGCGAAGGCGGCUCUCUGGGACGGUACUGACGCUGAGACGCGAAAGCGUGGGGAGCGAACAGG
rnacentral:rRNA from 1 species